rnacentral:rRNA from 1 species
AGAAAGCGUAAUAGCUCACUGGUCGAGUCGGCCUGCGCGGAAGAUGUAACGGGGCUAAACCAUGCACCGAAGCUGCGGCAGCGACACUAUGUGUUGUUGGGUAGGGGAGCGUUCUGUAAGCCUGUGAAGGUGUGUCGUGAGGCAUGCUGGAGGUAUCAGAAGUGCGAAUGCUGACAUAAGUAACGAUAAAGCGGGUGAAAAGCCCGCUCGCCGGAAGACCAAGGGUUCCUGUCCAACGUUAAUCGGGGCAGGGUGAGUCGACCCCUAAGGCGAGGCCGAAAGGCGUAGUCGAUGGGAAACGGGUUAAUAUUCCCGUACUUGGUGUUACUGCGAAGGGGGGACGGAGAAGGCUAUGUUGGCCGGGCGACGGUUGUCCCGGUUUAAGCGUGUAGGUGUGUGUUCCAGGUAAAUCCGGUUCACUUUAACACUGAGGCGUGACGACGAGGCACUACGGUGCUGAAGCAACAAAUGCCCUGCUUCCAGGAAAAGCCUCUAAGCAUCAGGUAACAUCAAAUCGUACCCCAAACCGACACAGGUGGUCAGGUAGAGAAUACCAAGGCGCUUGAGAGAACUCGGGUGAAGGAACUAGGCAAAAUGGUGCCGUAACUUCGGGAGAAGGCACGCUGACACGUAGGUGAAGUGAUUUACUCAUGGAGCUGAAGUCAGUCGAAGAUACCAGCUGGCUGCAACUGUUUAUUAAAAACACAGCACUGUGCAAACACGAAAGUGGACGUAUACGGUGUGACGCCUGCCCGGUGCCGGAAGGUUAAUUGAUGGGGUCAGCGCAAGCGAAGCUCCUGAUCGAAGCCCCGGUAAACGGCGGCCGUAACUAUAACGGUCCUAAGGUAGCGAAAUUCCUUGUCGGGUAAGUUCCGACCUGCACGAAUGGCGUAAUGAUGGCCAGGCUGUCUCCACCCGAGACUCAGUGAAAUUGAACUCGCUGUGAAGAUGCAGUGUACCCGCGGCAAGACGGAAAGACCCCGUGAACCUUUACUAUAGCUUGACACUGAACAUUGAGCCUUGAUGUGUAG